AUGCUAACCGCCGUCUAGGGUGAGAUCCGAACGGCGAAGCAACAGGAGGAAGCCGGUGUGAAUCCGGCGCGGUCCCGCCACUGUGACCGGGAGAAGUCCCGGGAGCCAGGAACUCCGCCCGCUGUCCCCUACGACUU
rnacentral:ncRNA from 18 species